ACAGGGAUUGCCCUAGUAACGGCGAGUGAAGCGGCAACAGCUCAAAUUUGAAAUCUGGCUCUUUUAGAGUCCGAGUUGUAAUUUGCAGAGGGCGCUUUGGCUUUGGCAGCGGUCCAAGUUCCUUGGAACAGGACGUCACAGAGGGUGAGAAUCCCGUACGUGGUCGCUGGCUAUUGCCGUGUAAAGCCCCUUCGACGAGUCGAGUUGUUUGGGAAUGCAGCUCUAAAUGGGAGGUACAUUUCUUCUAAAGCUAAAUAUUGGCCAGAGACCGAUAGCGCACAAGUAGAGUGAUCGAAAGAUGAAAAGCACUUUGGAAAGAGAGUCAAACAGCACGUGAAAUUGUUGAAAGGGAAGCGCUUGCAGCCAGACUUGCUUACAGUUGCUCAUCCGGGUUUCUACCCGGUGCACUCUUCUGUAGGCAGGCCAGCAUCAGUUUGGGCGGUAGGAUAAAGGUCUCUGUCACGUACCUCCUUUCGGGGAGGCCUUAUAGGGGAGACGACAUACUACCAGCCUGGACUGAGGUCCGCGCAUCUGCUAGGAUGCUGGCGUAAUGGCUGUAAGCGGCCCGUCUUGAAACACGGACCAAGGAGUCUAACAUCUAUGCGAGUGUUUGGGUGUCAAGCCCGAGCGCGUAAUGAAAGUGAACGGAGGUGGGAACCCGCAAGGGUGCACCAUCGACCGAUCCUGAUGUCUUCGGAAGGAUUUGAGUAAGAGCAUGGCUGUUGGGACCCGAAAGAUGGUGAACUAUGCUUGAAUAGGGUGAAGCCAGAGGAAACUCUGGUGGAGGCUCGCAGCGGUUCUGACGUGCAAAUCGAUCGUCAAAUUUGGGCAUAGGGGCGAAAGACUA
rnacentral:rRNA from 1 species